CAAAGCUUUUCGUAAGAAAGAAUCUAUUUCGAAAAAGUAUUUGUCAAAGAAAGUUCUUAUUUUCUUCUUCGGACGUUUUGAAUGUUAACUACGUCGUAACCGUUUUUGACCCCAACAACAUCCAUCAACCCAACACUUAACAACGUAUGAUAUCGGGGUUGAUGUUUCUACAUCAAAAUCAAAUUGAUGCCUCACUGUAAGAAGUUUCAGUCGUCUCUCCAAAUCGUCUUUACUCUCGUAUCGUUGACCUACCGCAAUGUCUAUCGACGACAUCUCCAACC
rnacentral:lncRNA from 1 species